rnacentral:lncRNA from 10 species
AUUAGCCUCAAGGCCUAUAUAUGGACCUCUCCUCAGGCAAAGAAUCAUCUGAUCCCAGGCAUACCUGCAGUUCCCCCGCAGCUGGUACACACGCUGCACAAGCCCAGUGCUUUGGAUGCGAGAGUUGACUUUGAAGAUACCUACUUUAGGAGCAGUUACAAAUAUUUUGUGGCAGGAAGUCUUCCCUUAAGUGCUGAGUCUGCACCGCGACAAACACACUUUUAAAGAAGAAAACUGUAUAAGCAGCAAUGUCUUCAUAGCCAACCACUGGUUCAAUCAUUUAAAAAGUUUUUAAUCAAGGACCCCUAGAAGGGAGUUUCCUUUAUAAAAAGCCCUCUGAUUACAGGCGUGAGCCACCAUGCCAUUUGUGAGGCCGAAGCGGGUGGAUCACCUGAGGUCAGGAGUUCAAGUCCAGCCUGGCCAACAUGAUGAAACCCCAUCUCUACUAAAAACACAAAAAAUUAGCCAGGUGUGGUGGCAGGCGCCUGUAAUCCCAGCUACUCAGGAGGCUGAGACAGGAGAGUUGUUUGAACCCAGGAGGCGGAGGUUGCAGUGAGCUGAGACCACACCAUUGCACUCCACCCUGUGCAACAAGAGCAAAAACUCCGUCUCCAAAAAAAAAAAAGCCCCCUGAUUCACAGCUCAGGAGUAGGAAUUCACACAGUUUCUAAGCCUGAGCAACCUUAGAAAAGAAAGAAGGAAACAAAGAUGUGAAAAAUUUAUUUUGCAUAGACUCAGUCAGAAAGUAGUGAGAAGUCUGGUCACAGAAUAAUUUUAUUUAGGAAAACAGAAAUCUAUGGGACAAUAAAUUCUAUAGCUACAUGGAAAAUGGAAAUAACAAUGGCAGCUUAUGUCCUUUAAAGCCAUGCUUCCGAGACUCUAACGUGCAUAUGAAUCACCUGGGGAUCUUAUUAAAAUGCAGAUUCUGAUUCAGUACUUCUGGGGUAGAGCCUGAGAUUCAGUAAAUCUCACAAGCUCCUUGGUGAUGCCAAUGCUGCUGACCCCUGAACCACACUUUGACCAGCAAAAACACAUUUGCUUAUUGUAAAGGUUAUAUCCACUGUUAAGUUUAAACACCAUUUCAUAAAUUAAUGUGAAGAAGAGUUAGGAAUUAAUUGUUCAUUCAAUCAACAUCAUUGAGCUUACUAUAUGCUAGGCCUUAUGGCGGGUACUAAACAUUCAACAGUAACUAAAGCAAAAAGUACACUUGGGAGGCUGAGGUAAGCAGAUCGCUUGAGCUAAGGAGUUCGAGUCCAGC